AGAGUUUGAUCAUGGCUCAGAUUGAACGCUGGCGGCAGGCCUAACACAUGCAAGUCGAACGGUAACAGGAAGCAGCUUGCUGCUUUGCUGACGAGUGGCGGACGGGUGAGUAAUGUCUGGGAAACUGCCUGAUGGAGGGGGAUAACUACUGGAAACGGUGGCUAAUACCGCAUAACGUCGCAAGACCAAAGAGGGGGACCUUCGGGCCUCUUGCCAUCAGAUGUGCCCAGAUGGGAUUAGCUUGUUGGUGAGGUAACGGCUCACCAAGGCGACGAUCCCUAGCUGGUCUGAGAGGAUGACCAGCCACACUGGAACUGAGACACGGUCCAGACUCCUACGGGAGGCAGCAGUGGGGAAUAUUGCACAAUGGGCGCAAGCCUGAUGCAGCCAUGCCGCGUGUAUGAAGAAGGCCUUCGGGUUGUAAAGUACUUUCAGCGGGGAGGAAGGUGUUGUGGUUAAUAACCACAGCAAUUGACGUUACCCGCAGAAGAAGCACCGGCUAACUCCGUGCCAGCAGCCGCGGUAAUACGGAGGGUGCAAGCGUUAAUCGGAAUUACUGGGCGUAAAGCGCACGCAGGCGGUCUGUCAAGUCGGAUGUGAAAUCCCCGGGCUCAACCUGGGAACUGCAUUCGAAACUGGCAGGCUUGAGUCUUGUAGAGGGGGGUAGAAUUCCAGGUGUAGCGGUGAAAUGCGUAGAGAUCUGGAGGAAUACCGGUGGCGAAGGCGGCCUCCUGGACAAAGACUGACGCUCAGGUGCGAAAGCGUGGGGAGCAAACAGGAUUAGAUACCCUGGUAGUCCACGCCGUAAACGAUGUCUACUUGGAGGUUGUGCCCUUGAGGCGUGGCUUCCGGAGCUAACGCGUUAAGUAGACCGCCUGGGGAGUACGGCCGCAAGGUUAAAACUCAAAUGAAUUGACGGGGGCCCGCACAAGCGGUGGAGCAUGUGGUUUAAUUCGAUGCAACGCGAAGAACCUUACCUGGUCUUGACAUCCACAGAACUUUCCAGAGAUGGAUUGGUGCCUUCGGGAACUGUGAGACAGGUGCUGCAUGGCUGUCGUCAGCUCGUGUUGUGAAAUGUUGGGUUAAGUCCCGCAACGAGCGCAACCCUUAUCCUUUGUUGCCAGCGAUUAGGUCGGGAACUCAAAGGAGACUGCCAGUGAUAAACUGGAGGAAGGUGGGGAUGACGUCAAGUCAUCAUGGCCCUUACGACCAGGGCUACACACGUGCUACAAUGGCGCAUACAAAGAGAAGCGACCUCGCGAGAGCAAGCGGACCUCAUAAAGUGCGUCGUAGUCCGGAUUGGAGUCUGCAACUCGACUCCAUGAAGUCGGAAUCGCUAGUAAUCGUGGAUCAGAAUGCCACGGUGAAUACGUUCCCGGGCCUUGUACACACCGCCCGUCACACCAUGGGAGUGGGUUGCAAAAGAAGUAGGUAGCUUAACCUUCGGGAGGGCGCUUACCACUUUGUGAUUCAUGACUGGGGUGAAGUCGUAACAAGGUAACCGUAGGGGAACCUGCGGUUGGAUCACCU
rnacentral:rRNA from 1 species